UGGGGAAUAUUGGACAAUGGGCGAAAGCCUGAUCCAGCCAUGCCGCGUGUGUGAAGAAGGUCUUCGGAUUGUAAAGCACUUUAAGUUGGGAGGAAGGGCAGUAAGCGAAUACCUUGCUGUUUUUACGUUACCGACAGAAUAAGCACCGGCUAACUCUGUGCCAGCAGCCGCGGUAAUACAGAGGGUGCAAGCGUUGAUCGGAAUUACUGGGCGUAAAGCGCGCGUAGGUGGUUCGUUAAGUUGAAUGUGAAAGCCCCGGGCUCAACCUGGGAACUGCAUCCAAAACUGGCGAGCUAGAGUAGGGCAGAGGGUGGUGGAAUUUCCUGUGUAGCGGUGAAAUGCGUAGAUAUAGGAAGGAACACCAGUGGCGAAGGCGACCACCUGGGCUCAUACUGACACUGAGGUGCGAAAGCGUGGGGAGCAAACAGG
rnacentral:rRNA from 1 species